rnacentral:rRNA from 1 species
UACGGAGGGUGCAAACGUUGCUCGGAAUCAUUGGGCGUAAAGCGCACGUAGGUGGUUUGUUAAGUCUGUUGUGAAAGCCCCGGGCUCAACCUGGGAAUGGCAAUGGAUACUGGCAAGCUAGAGUGCGGUAGAGGGUAGUGGAAUUCCCGGUGUAGCGGUGAAAUGCGUAGAGAUCGGAAAGAACACCAACGGCGAAAGCACUCUGCUGGGCCGACACUGACACUGAGAGACGAAAGCUAGGGGAGCGAAUGGG